rnacentral:rRNA from 1 species
ACGGGGGGUGCAAGCGUUGUUCGGAAUUAUUGGGCGUAAAGCGCGUGUAGGCGGUUUGUUAAGUCUGAUGUGAAAGCCCCGGGCUCAACCUGGGAAGUGCAUUGGAAACUGGCAGACUUGAAUACGGGAGAGGGUAGUGGAAUUCCUGGUGUGGGGGUGAAAGCAGGGGAUAUCAGGAGGAACCCCGGUGGCGAAGGCGGCUACCUGGAUCGAUUUUGACGCUGGGACGCGAAAGCGUGGGUAGGAAAGAG